rnacentral:rRNA from 1 species
ACGGAAGGCAGCAGUGGGGAAUAUUGCACAAUGGGGGAAACCCUGAUGCAGCGACGCCGCGUGAGCGAAGAAGUAUUUCGGUAUGUAAAGCUCUAUCAGCAGGGAAGAAAAUGACGGUACCUGACUAAGAAGCCCCGGCUAACUACGUGCCAGCAGCCGCGGUAAUACGUAGGGGGCAAGCGUUAUCCGGAUUUACUGGGUGUAAAGGGAGCGUAGACGGCAUGGCAAGUCUGAAGUGAAAGCUCGCGGCUCAACCGCGGAACUGCUUUGGAAACUGUCAAGCUAGAGUACCGGAGGGGUAAGCGGAAUUCCUAGUGUAGCGGUGAAAUGCGUAGAUAUUAGGAAGAACACCGGUGGCGAAGGCGGCUUACUGGACGGUAACUGACGUUGAGGCUCGAAAGCGUGGGGAGCAAACAGGAUUAGAUACCCUGGUA